GAAACUCUCUAAUACGGCGCUUUCCUCUAGCCUCCAUCCCCUUUCUCACCAUUGUUUUCAAAGCUCAAAGAUCUGGUGUCUGGUGACUCCAGCAAGACCACCACCGCUGUUUUCGCCGCUCAGCGACUUGGAAGAACGGCAGCUCAAACCGGUGCACUUCUGGCAGAUGAUUACGUCCGACCAAAACCUCGUCAAGCCGUGCAGUUUCCAUGGAAACAAAAGUCCCUUUCUCAACCCGAACAGGUUCAUAUCUCAUUGGGUGGAGAUAAACACAUGCGAGUGAGUUGGGUUACUAGCGACAAAUCGUCUCCUUCCAUUGCGUUUUUCUGAAUCAACACCAAAUUGAUCAAACCCUUCGUCAAAAUCAAAACUUGGGUUCUGGGUUUUUGCUUUUUCCCUGACUUUGUACUUCCCCGAGAAGAUGGUUCAGUAUCAGAGAUUAAUCAUCCACCAUGGAAGAAAAGAAGAGAGGUUUAGAGAUUCGUUUAGCAGAGAAAGCGAAGCUCUUAGUCCUUACGAGCCAUCCACUGCACCUCUCUGCUCAGAUAACUCCACUGGAACCAUUUGCUGUGACAGAACCGGAUUGAGAUCUGACAUCUGUGUAAUGAAAGGCGAUGUACGAACAAACUCUGCUUAUUCGUCAGUAUUCCUCUUCACAUCCACCAAGAACAACACCAGAAAAUGGGAGACUAGUGUGAUUGUUUUUCAUUCUAAUUGAUGUUUUUGGUUUGGAAAAUUUUGGGAGGCUUAUGUAAUGUGAAUUUGAGAUCUAUUUUGUAAUCUACUCAUUUUUUUUUUUCAUUUUGUGAUUAUAGAAAAGGAGAAGUUAUGUCUCAUUUUUUUUUAUUUUGUGAGGUUUAUAUCAUCUUAAUUUUGUGGUCAUCAAUUAUAAUGAUCAUGAACUCGAUUUGUAUAUAUGGUGAUAUACUAUUUUAUACAGAUGUCUUGUUUUUUUUGUUA